AUAUUUGUUCCCGGGCUUCUCUGAAGCGUCUGCGUUGAUUCACAGCACGCCCUUUCCCUUCCUCAGAGAGACAAGAGAAAUACGUCUGGAAGGGAGGAGCUCUGUAAUGGCGCAGUGCCUACAGGACACGAGGAGGACAGAGGAGCUUUGCAUAUAGAUCUGAUGGGCAGUGUCAGAGUCAUCAUCCUCUGCCUGGCCCCAUCCCUCUCUCCAAAUCCUCUGACCUUCCUUUCUUCAUGUUCAGGUGAACAUAAUGAAGCUGGAGGAGGUGACAGAUAGCAGCAGAUGGACCAGCAUGUGGCCUCUAGACUAAAGAUCCCUGAGAGAAGACACAGCUCUAUGGGAUGUCCUGCAAACACAGAGAAAUCUUCAUUGUGAAGAAGGUGGCAUCCCAUGGGUCCAGGGCCCACAUACGGAUUACCUUGGGCUUUCUUGGCUCCCCUCUAAGCUCAAAAAACCCAAAAAGAGGUAAGAAAUCAUUUAUUCUGGAGGCAAAUAAAAGUGACCAGGCCUGGGAUACCUCCAAUUCCAUCUUCUACCACAGUGCAGGUUCAGGAAGCUUGUAUAGCAACAGAACAAGGCUAGUCAUAAAUCAAGACAUUUCCAGGUACAUUGAUGGAAAUAUAAGGUAGGUGAGCUGUGGCAAACUGGGGACAUCUCUAUUUUAGGCCUUAGAUGCCCUGAUGACAUCUUAGCCCUUGGGUUGCUAGAAGCAAGGGGUCCAUUUAUGUAUUCCAAAUGGUCACUAGGGGUUGUGAGCAGGGGAAUAUGAUGACCAUAACUGUUAGGUUCUGCUCUACUUCCCAGUGUUUUCACCUUCCCACCUGUACAGGAGUCCUCAGUCAAAGCAGUGCCUGCUGGGAAAUACAGCUUUCCCUCACCCUUGGCAACCACCGACUUCCUUCUAGUCCCAACCCAGAAGGCAUGUUUUUCCUGUUGGUACUGUCUUUUGUCAGCGUGUGUGGGCAUCAAAUCCAGGAUCCUUGAAGAUGCCCACAUGCCCGGAAUGUAAGUGCUUCCUUCCAUCUGUCUCAGUACCCUGAGAUCCCUGCAAUACCCAACACUCUGCAGUGAAGUGAGCUGCUACAGUGUUUGGGGUGAUCAUGACAAGAAAAAGUAGGCAUACUCAGUACAGAAGCAAAGAUUG
rnacentral:lncRNA from 1 species